rnacentral:sRNA from 1 species
UCACCACAAUUACCACUACAACCAUUACCACCGGUAACGGGGCGGGCUGACGCGUACAGGAAAUACGAAAAAAGCCCGCACCCAAUCAGGUGCGGGCUUUUUUUU